CCUUGGUUUCCCACCCAAACUCUAUGAACGUGUGUAAGAAAAAAAAUAUAUUUAGGACGCCAUUUUUCAUUGCUUUUGUUCCGUCGUGUUGAUGUUGGAAGUUUUCGUUUUGUCGGUGUAGGAAAAUACCCGGAAGGGACUUUGCGACGGAGAGAUAAGUUUUCACCAUUUUGACCAGCGACCGUGAACAUCGGCGCAGCGCUGGAAAAGAACCGCUAGUGAUAGCCGUACAACCGUGAUUUCAAUCCUAAGCCACCAGGACGAAAAAGGUGUCGUCCUGAGCUGCGAGGAAUUCUAUUCGGAUGAUGACGACGAAAACCAAUCGCAAUCCGGCCACUACGCUUGUUCCGGCUGUUCCGGCACCUCCCAGAUCGCGUUGUAGCCGCAAGAAUUUUGAUCUGCCCAAAAGUAUUCAGUCCCAGAAGAACCUGCUCCAACAGGCUGGUGUAAGGGUGCUUUUGUCGGAUCAAGAGCACCGGCGGGAUUGCCAGGAAAUGGAUGGAUGCAACGGAAGCGGCGCAAGAGCAGUUGGUGUCAGCGCAACCGCGUAACAGAAAACAAAGCGUCGCUUCGGUCCGGAAACUUCAAAAAUUUACGGAAUUACGUCCGCCUUCGGAGAGCUACGUUGGAGAAAGACGAAGGCAACGUAGCGCUUAGCCAAAAGUAUAGCUUAUACUUUCGCAAGAGUGCCGAGCGGCGAUCGAGAUAUGAAGCAGCUGAUUCUAUCGAGAGCAUGACGAUCCAAAAACUUCCGGAGUACGGAUACGACUUCCGAGUGUCAUCAAAUGAUGUACGAUUACCGGGACCAUAGUUGGUCACGAUAAUAUUCAAGACCCGUGCACUUUCCGGCCAAACAACUCGCACCCCACAUGACACGGUCUAAAGAAUCGCAUGCUGUUGAAAAACAUCGAAAAUUCUCGCAACGUUGAGUUCCAGAACACGGCCGGUACAUGCCGGCGCCGUCCCGUCUGCCACUUUCCCAAGCAGUGUCUGAAAAAAACCCCAGACGCAACUUUACAAUUGCGCCUUCGAUCGACGGAAGUACAGAUCCAGCAUCGCCAACACGAGGCCACGUGACCUAGUAUCAACAUUCCCUGCUGGUGGCCAACUCUAAUUAAUCUUUGAUAUCGAAAACACCAAGCGGCUUCGAUGGACACGAGCCGAUGGAUUGGUGAUUCUUGAUGAUUUUUUCUAGCAAAAUUGUCAAUAAACUAAAUAAAACAAAAUUAUUUUUUUAUUUAUUCAAAACAAAUCGGAUGAAAGAUCUAACUCGAUCGACCCCACAUUCCUUAUGCUUACUUGUGUGAAUGUAAAAAAUAUUGUGAAGUCGUAAGUAUGACUACGAGAAAAAUGUGAAGUUGUGAACGUGAUAGUGAAAAAGAAUGCGAAAAGGUUAGUGUGAUUGAAAAAAAUGAGCGUGAAGUCAAAAAUUCUGGUGAAUUCGUGAAAGCGAUUAGGAAUUAGUUUGUGAAUGAUAGUGAAAACGCGAGAGUGCUUGUGAAAUCGUAAUCAUGUUGAGGAGAAGAGUAUAACUUCAUGCUGUGAAGUCGUGAGUGUUUGCGAAGAAAAGUGUUAAAACGUUUUUGUGAUUGGAAAGAAUAGUAUGAAGUCAAGAUUGUGGUUGAGAAGAAAAUGUGAUUGGUGGGGGACUGUGAAGUCGUGACUGUGAAAAGAAAACAGACUGUGAAUAAUUGGUAAGAAGGUUGAUAAAUUUCAGAGUGAUUAAGGAAAAGAGUGUGAAGUCGUGAGUCAAGCACCAUUUCGAAAAUAGGAAGCACA